ACAUGCUUGUAAUAUUUAUGUAUUAUGAGAUUUCGAAGAUUGAAUUGAGCUGUCUAUAUUUUACUAUUAGAAAAACUUACUUCCAAAUAUUUGCAGUAAAAAUUACUGAGUUGGGUUCUCACGAUUAGGUUAGACUUUGGAUGUUUGUGGAGGGAUUUAUCGUUGGGUUCCGGCAGUUGAAAGGAGAGAACUGAAUCUGCCAUUGUAGUUGAUUUCCCAAAAUCUGAUUCAGGUAGGAUAAGUUUCAUGGCAGAACAAGCAUUCAAAAGGAAUUGGUGCAUCCCUUGCUUCUUUCUCAGUGAAGAAACUACAAAUUUAUAAUUGUGCUUGCGGCUGGUAAUAAGAUCUCCCACUCUGAUUUGAAGAACUUUUACAGUUCAGUUCUCUUGCUAUUGUUAACCAACCAGCUCCUUCUUCACACAAUUUCUCAUCUACAAGGGUCAAUACUCUGUCAGAACCUGCAAGAGAGAGCCAGGGUACAAUGUUAAGAUACUAAGGCGUAUGCUUUUAGGUGAAAGAAAAGGGGCCAAUUGAAUGAUAUGUGAUACUGAAUGUCGCAACAGCACUAUUAGUCAGCGGGCGAGUUGUUAACUUAGCUGAAGGAGUAGCAAUCGCAUAUACCACACAUUAUUCAGGGAAAGCUCUUAACGCUCUUAAUCAGUGGAUUGAUGUAGUGCAAAAGAAUCAGUAAAGACGCUCUGCUAGAGUAUGUAAGGAUAAGAUUAUUGAGCUACUCUCAAAAUUACUCCUCUGGUCAUUUACUGGAUCAUUCGGAAGCACAAAGAUUUGAUAUAUGGCAAGUGGGUUUGGAGAAUCAACUACUAGGGAAACCUCAAGUCCUUCUUGCUCCAGUAACAGUGGUAAUUAUAGCGAUACUGGCAACUUCGAGUGCAAUAUUUGCUUUCAUUUGGCGCAUGACCCAAUUGUUACUCUCUGCCGCAAUAAUGGAGAAAUUUUCCUUCUACCACAAGGGAAGUGAACUGCCUCAUGGCCAUCGAAUGCUGACUAAUCAACCUCUUCUUCGUAGUAGAGUGAAUACAAGUAUCGUUCUCAUAUUUAAGUAGUACUUGAUGCUAUUCUAUUGAGAGAUUGUCAUUGGGUGAGACUAGCAUGAUAAGUUCGAAUGCAAUAAGAGGAUGAUGGAGUUGAGCUACUGUUUUAUUGAUUCUCUCAAGACUUGGUCAAUAAUUUGUCCACAAGAAAAUCGAGAAAUUAUGCAAUUUAUUUUUGUUGAUUAUUACUUGAUUUCUUAAGAAAAUGGGAAUACCCUAUUUUGGAUCUCAAGCAUACUUUCAAGGAUAAUUUUUUCAAGCUAUUUUUGGGUCCUCAUAUGUUUCAUUGCACGGGUUCUAUUUGCUACAUGCAAGACUACUUUGAAGGAAGAAAAGUGAUCAAGAUUAAAGAUACUAUGUGGUUUGUGUUGGAGAUGCUUAAAAUAGAAUUUUGUUCGAGUUGGGGCGCCUUGAUGUUUGUUUGGGACUUUAAACUGAAAUUAAAUUUAA